UUAGGGUUUUUCGGCGAAUUUGCCGAGAAAUAUUAGGAAUUUCCAUUGGAAGAUAAUUUAUAUGGAAUCUAGAGAUCAAAAUAAGUAUAAUGUGAGUAAGAUUGAGCAAGAAAUUAGAAUUAAAUCGGUGCUCGUAUAGAAAACGCGACAGGAGGGCAAAAUGGUCAUAUCAUAUAAAAAAUACACCAAAUCUUGUAAAAAGUAAAAUGAUUAAUUAUUUCAGAUAUGUAAUUGGUAUUACACGUCCAUCAAGUGGAGGAAAUAUGAAGAAAAUUCUAGACUUGGUUAAUUAAUUAGAAUGGUGCCACUUGUACACCUUAUCUUCCAUAAAAUUUAAUAAUGAAUUUUAGACUUAUAUAAACUACAAAUAAUAUUAUUCAUCUUCCUUCUACUUGAAAACUCUCGGCUCUCUCCCUCUUUGAAAUACAAGAAAAUUUUCUCUUCCAUUCUUGAUCAUGUCUUGAAAAGAAUUAAAGGAAAAUCAAGUGUAAAUGAUAAAGUUAAGCUACACCCAAAUGUUAGCAAAUGAAAGGAAAAAGGAUCGGCGAAAGAAGAAAUGUCGAAUGGAAAGGUUUGGAAACAACGUCAUCCAGAUGUAGUUUAUGACAUAUGUGAAGUUUUGUAUUAUUAUACCCCUCUGAUGACAUAGUUUGGAAAUUUGAAGUCGUGGACGGAGAUUUGACUACUGGUACGGGUUAAUUGGAUCAGGGAUUUCUUUGGAUAUUUCUUUCGUUUCUUUGCCAGCACUGCAUCCACGGUGGGUCACUAAUCACUGCUUGCGGCGUUUGUGUCCAUUUAUGUUAGAUGUGGCAUGUAUAGUAUUUGAACAUUUGCAAUAGCUUCCGCUGUGUUUGUAAAUAGUGUUGGAACUUUUGCUGAUAGGUUAAUGAAUUAAGUUUGGUUUUUAAUUGACCAUAAUUUAUGGCACCGUAAUUGUGACAUUUCCUAUUCGACCGUUCGCCGAUCGGGUAGGGGGUGUUACAAGUUGGUAUCAGAGCCUAGGUUUAGGUGUUCCUAGGCUCUUGGUGGGUUUGAAGUGUGUUUAGUAACAUGCCACAUAGGGUGUCGAGUCGUAUUCGAUAUCAGUGACCUGAUGCAGUGGCUACAGUAUGCCAAUAUAGAAGUUUGUCAAACGAUUAUUUGAUAAAGUAUAAAGUCUAAAGUUUAUCAAAGUACGGGACAAGAAUUCCCGUGUGACCGAGAAAUUUGGUUAUAUGGGACUGGCCACCCCACAUAACUCGAAUCUCGAUAGUGUCAUUGUCGGACAAAAAAACAAACUAAAAAUAAAUAAAUAAAUAUGAUGUCAGCUAAAAGAGUGUAAAGUAUAAAAUGAUUAGUAAGUAAAUUAUUUGCUAAUUAUGAUUUGAGAUCUGAUUUUGAUAUAUGUGAACAUGACAGUGAUGUGGAUAAUAAAUUAAUAUGGUCAUAUAAGUGUUGUGCCCUUGUUUAUGCGUUAACAUCGGGUAUAGAAAUUAUUUAUGAUAUAUGAUACAUAGUGUCAUUCUCUACAAUAUAUGGUGUGAUGGGAGGAAAUAAUAUGAUGUGACGAUUGGUGUGAUGGGAGGAUUUGAUUGACCCCAUGCGGGUGCAUUUUUUCUUUGUACGUAUACCCGUGUUUAUCGUUAAGCACACUUAGGCAAAUAAGUGAAAAUAUGUGAUAAUGUGUAUUAGCCUACGGAUAACAUAUGUGUUCUGUGAUCUGUAAAUGUGUUGGUUAUGGAUAAGAAUGGGAUAUAUCCUUCGUAUUUGAUUUUAAUAAAUCGUAUGGAUAUAUGAUGUUAAGUUUUAUACGACGAAAGCGGGCUAUCUGAAUGUGAACAUGUGAAUUGAUCGAUACCUGAUAUGGAUAAAUAUGUGUGCUCUAAAUGAGCUAUGCGUACGUGAAAAUGAAGUGUAUGAAUAUGUGACGUGAAUGGAAGUAUGAAAUCUAUAUGGAUUAUAUGAGUACUCGGAAUCGGGCAAUAUGAAAUAUGAUGUGAUGUGAUAGAGAUAUAAGCUAAGUAACUGUACAUGAUAUAAGAUAUGUGAUACAAAAUGUGGUAAGAUUAGAAUGUUAACUCCGUAAGAACUGUGUGCACUCGAAGACGAGCUAAGUGAUUAUGGAAAUUUAAAUGAAGAUUUAGAUAUGAAAUGGAAAAUUAAAAUGGGUGCUCUAAGUGAGCUAUAAUAUAUAUGAAAUGAUAUGUCUAAAAAUGUGAGUUGUAAAUGAAAUAAAUAUAUGAGUUUGAAAUUGAACUAUAUGAGGAAAAAUGGUACUAUGCUUGAAAUUAUGGAAUCCAGGGAAUCAUAUGCGUGUUUAAAAGAAUGUGAAAUGUAUUGAUGACCAAUAUAUGAUGGAAUUCGAAAAUGAAUGUGAUAUUUGACAUUAUUGCGAAUUGUGUUGAUUAUUUGGGAGAUAUUACAAUGUUGCUGUGGAUGAUUAAUUUAUUUGGAUGCUUUGCCUUUGAAUUUGAAUAUUGUUGGUUUUUGGGCAUGCUCCAUUUUUAGGGGAAAGGUUGCCCAAUUUUUGUUAGAAACUAAUGGAAUAAAUUAACUACGGAAUUAUAAUAACAAGAGAUGAUGACUGUAAUAGAAACAAUAUCCAAUAUGUGAUGAAUCAAGGUGGAAGUAUGUAGUAUGAUAAAAGGGUAUGUAAAUUGAUAUGAUAUAAGAGGACAACAUGAAUAAGUUAAAAAUGAACUAGAAUGGUGUAGGGGAUAAAUGAGUAAUAAAAAUGGUAGCAUUGUCACGUGAAUGCGAAUGGGGAAUCUGAAUGUGAAAAUGUUGAUUAUGUGAUUUUAUAUGCUAUUUGAUGAAUGAUUAUUGAAAUAUGAGCUAUGGAUUUCACAUUGGAACUUAUGCUGAAAUCUGUCAGAUAAUAAAAUGUAAAGAAGUAUGCGAUAUAAUUUGAUAAGUAUGCUUAUGUAUAUUUUUGAAUCUGUGACAUGAUGGAACUAAUAAUCUUAAUAUGAUAUAUUAGGGUGAAAUAUGAACUUAUGUGACAUUAUAUGUGAAAGGUGGAUUAUGUGAUUUGAAGUAUGAUUUUGUGGCUUGAUGCGGAAAAUGAGGAUACGCUACAAAUAGGAAAUGACGUAAUGCCAUGAAAUGACAUAAGAGAAACCAUGGCGCUUCAGGAGUAAGAAAAUCUGAUGGAAUUUCGAGGACGAAAUUCUAUUUAGGGGGGAUGAGUUGUAAUGCCCCAAAACCCACCUUAGACGGAAAAGUGAAUUUCCGGUGCUGUAAAUCGCCGAAAUUAGGGUUUUCGGCGAAUAAAUUGAAAUAAAUAACAAAAUAAAUUCUGAUAAUUCAAUAAAUCAUGGGAUACCGAAAUAUAAGUCAUAAUAAGUGUUAGAAAGGAUACGUGAGCAAAGAAUUGAGUUUUAAUGAGUUUUAGUACGUUUUUUUUAGAAAAGUCACCGAUUAGGGUUUUUCGGCGAAUUUGCCGAGAAAUAUUAGGAAUUUCCAUUGGAAGAUAAUUUAUAUGGAAUCUAGAGAUCAAAAUAAGUAUAAUGUGAGUAAGAUUGAGCAAGAAAUUAGAAUUAAAUCGGUGCUCGUAUAGAAAACGCGACAGGAGGGCAAAAUGGUCAUAUCAUAUAAAAAAUACACCAAAUCUUGUAAAAAGUAAAAUGAUUAAUUAUUUCAGAUAUGUAAUUGGUAUUACACGUCCAUCAAGUGGAGGAAAUAUGAAGAAAAUUCUAGACUUGGUUAAUUAAUUAGAAUGGUGCCACUUGUACACCUUAUCUUCCAUAAAAUUUAAUAAUGAAUUUUAGACUUAUAUAAACUACAAAUAAUAUUAUUCAUCUUCCUUCUACUUGAAAACUCUCGGCUCUCUCCCUCUUUGAAAUACAAGAAAAUUUUCUCUUCCAUUCUUGAUCAUGUCUUGAAAAGAAUUAAAGGAAAAUCAAGUGUAAAUGAUAAAGUUAAGCUACACCCAAAUGUUAGCAAAUGAAAGGAAAAAGGAUCGGCGAAAGAAGAAAUGUCGAAUGGAAAGGUUUGGAAACAACGUCAUCCAGAUGUAGUUUAUGACAUAUGUGAAGUUUUGUAUUAUUAUACCCCUCUGAUGACAUAGUUUGGAAAUUUGAAGUCGUGGACGGAGAUUUGACUACUGGGUCGAAUUCCAGGAUGUGCAUAGACUCUGUGAUGGCCAAGUCAAGCACUCACCUGAAGCAUUUUAUGCAGGUUACCUGUGGAAGGUUUGACAAAUACGUUUUCUCAUUCAAAUCUAUAAAAAUUGCCAUGUAAUUAUUCAUCAAUCAGUAAUGUUUGCUUUUGUAUAAAGUACUUUAUUUAAUUUUUUUUAUCAUUUUUUAUAUCAAAGGUAAGUGUCCAGGCUUUUAGUGAUGAAGAUCCACAGGGACGCCGUACACUUGGCUUGUUUCUUCACCGGCGCAAGGCAGAAAUCAAUGAUCCAGUGAGAAAGGUACUCAAAAGUCAUGUUUGUAUGAUACAUUUUGGGUUGCAGACACAAUCCUAAAACACAUUUGGUGCUCUGUUACCGGGAACUGAUCAUUUUAUUGGCUGAAAUGUGACUUUAACAUUCUUGGAGAACCUUGGUCUGUAAGAUCUUAGACAGCAUGAUCUCUAAAACGAAACCCCCUUAAAUUUUCUGAUACUGCUGAUAACAAACAUUACCAAUGAUGCUUGUGGAUA